rnacentral:rRNA from 1 species
UACAGAGGUCCCAAGCGUUGUUCGGAUUCACUGGGCGUAAAGGGUGCGUAGGUGGCGAGGUAAGUCGGAUGUGAAAGCUCGGAGCUCAACUCCGAAAUGGCAUUGGAAACUACCUUGCUCGAGGGUUGGAGGGGGGACUGGAAUUCGUCGGUGUAGCAGUGAAAUGCGUAGAGAUCGUAAGGAAGACCAGUGGCGAAGGCGGGUCUCUGGACAGUUCCUGACGCUGAGGCACGAAGGUCAGGGGAGCAAACGGG